rnacentral:tRNA from 1 species
GCAGGUGUGGUUCAAUGGCAGAACUUCAGCUUCCCAAGCUGAUAACGUGGGUUCGAUUCCAAUCACCCGCUCCA